rnacentral:misc_RNA from 1 species
UUAAGUUCAGCGGUAGUCCUACCUGAUUUGAGAUCAAACAUUCAAAGGGUCAUCCUCACUGAGGAGAGACAUCUAUGAGCUCCAGCAAACCUCCACUGCUGAAGGUUACCCUGGUGGAAAACCACAAGCGUAGAUAGUUAUCACACCUGUGAUGCCCACCAAACACUGGCAAGCUGAUUCAUUUAGAGGAGCCGACCACA